GUCCCUCCCCGGCCUUGUCCCGGCUAGGGUUUCUGACCGUCGUUCCGUCUCCCGUCGCCAUUGAGAGUUCCUCCUGAUCUUUCGAUUCGAUCUGUUAAUGCAUGAUUUAUUGUUUUCCCUUCUGAUUCAUGUUUUUGAUUGGUGAAACUCCGUGAAUAGCCGCAGAGGAUCUCCGCCGAAGCGCAGGAGGUUCGGGAGGUCCACAAGCUAUCGAAUUUUACCCCAGAGGUAUUGGGUAUUGAAGGAAGAAUGUUUGGCAGAAAUCGUUAUGCGGAGAAGGUGCAGAUGAAGAAGAUGUAAGCAUCCUUUGCAUCGUCCUUGAAGUUUGAUUUCCUAAACUUGUCUCAGCAAUGUAGGCUUGUUGUUCAUGAUGAAUCAUCAUAUCUCCAUUAGGUGGUCGACAAGGUUCAUGAUGAAGCUACUCCUGCAUCUUUUAGAUUGGGAUACGACAACAUGGAAAAAGAUGAUCCUCAAACAACACUUAAGCAGAAAAAGGAGGAAAAGGCUGGCAAUUGGAAGGUCCCCUUACCAAUGUGCAAUCUGGAGAGUGAAUAACAGGCACAUUGGGACCAAAUGCAUUUAUGAAUUUAGAGGCAAAUGCUGGUGGUUGGCCUUGGACAUGCAAAGGAAAUUAUAAAGCUGGACAGCAAUGAAUUACAAUAUGUUUGCUAUUCAGUCAUGCUGUUCACUGGUUAAUUUGUACCAAUAAUACUUCUCCCAAUGAAGCCCUAAUCCUGCUGUUA